rnacentral:rRNA from 1 species
AUUGAACGCUGGCGGAAUGCUUUACACAUGCAAGUCGAACGGCAGCACGGACUUCGGUCUGGUGGCGAGUGGCGAACGGGUGAGUAAUACAUCGGAACAUGCCCAGUCGUGGGGAUAACGUAGCGAAAGCUACGCUAAUACCGCAUACGAUCCAAGGAUGAAAGCGGGGGAUCGCAAGACCUCGCGCGAUUGGAGUGGCCGAUGGCAGAUUAGGUAGUUGGUAGGGUAAAGGCCUACCAAGCCGACGAUCUGUAGCUGGUCUGAGAGGAUGAUCAGCCACACUGGGACUGAGACACGGCCCAGACUCCUACGGGAGGCAGCAGUGGGGAAUUUUGGACAAUGGACGCAAGUCUGAUCCAGCCAUUCCGCGUGCAGGAUGAAGGCCCUCGGGUUGUAAACUGCUUUUGUACAGAACGAAAAGGCUCUAGUUAAUACCUGGGGCUCAUGACGGUACUGUAAGAAUAAGCACCGGCUAACUACGUGCCAGCCGCCGCCGUAA